rnacentral:rRNA from 1 species
ACGUAGGGGGCGAGCGUUAUUCGGAAUUACUGGGUGUAAAGGGUAUGUAGGCGGCCCUUCAAGUCGCGUGUCAAAGUCCAGUGCUCAACGCUGGGUGUGCGCGCGAUACUGACGGGCUUGAGGGUUGGAGAGGUGAGCGGAAUUCCCGGUGUAGUGGUAAAAUGCGUAGAGAUGGGGAGGAACACCGGUGGCGAAGGCAGCUCACUAGGCAGUUUCUGACGCUAAGAUACGAAAGCGUGGGGAGCAAACAG